rnacentral:rRNA from 1 species
AGUGAACGCUGGCGGUAGGCCUAACACAUGCAAGUCGAACGGCAGCACAGUAAGAGCUUGCUCUUACGGGUGGCGAGUGGCGGACGGGUGAGGAAUACAUCGGAAUCUACUUUUUCGUGGGGGAUAACGUAGGGAAACUUACGCUAAUACCGCAUACGACCUACGGGUGAAAGCAGGGGAUCUUCGGACCUUGCGCGAUUGAAUGAGCCGAUGUCGGAUUGGCUAGUUGGCGGGGUAAAGGCCCACCAAGGCGACGAUCCGUAGCUGGUCUGAGAGGAUGUUCAGCCACACUGGAACUGAGACACGGUGCCGACUCCUACGGGAGGGAGCAGUGGGGAAUAUUGGACAAUGGGCGCAAGCCUGAUCCAGCCAUACCGCGUGGGUGAAGAAGGCCUUCGGGUUGUAAAGCCCUUUUGUUGGGAAAGAAAAGCAGCAGGUUAAUACCCCGCUGUUCUGACGGUACCCAAAGAAUAAGCACCGGCUAACUUCGUG